CAGCCACUGAGUGGACGACAACUCGC
rnacentral:piRNA from 1 species